rnacentral:lncRNA from 1 species
CUCGGUUUCACAGAUUUAAGUUUAUUACAUUGCAUCUCCAUGAUCACACAUAUCCUUGCAUGGAACGUUAAACAAGAUAAAAAUAUAGUUUGGCUUAAAUGGGAAUCCUUACCGAUUAAAGACAUACAUCCGUUCCAUUUAUUUUGGGUUAAAUCUUCUUUAGUUAACCCUUGUAUGAGUAAUAAUCCAGUAUUCAAGGGUGCAAUUAUCAGAUCAAGAAUAGGAAUUCAUAAUUAUUUUUCAUGCGUCACCCCUGUCACGGUUUUUAGGCCCCUCCUCGUAUCGCCAAGUUCGAUAGAAAUGCAUUAGACCAAUGCUGGAGAUGUAACUUAGAGAGAGGUACCUUUCUUCAUAUCUGGUGGGAGUGUAAAAACUGCAGGAAAAUUAAACAUGCAAUAGAUAUAUGUUUUACAUUUAUUUUUAUAACAGAUAUGGAAGAAAGAGAGAGGGGCUACGGGGUGGGGAAACCACCACCACUACCCCACAAAAAGGUUACAGAGGUACAAGGGGCGUAACCCCACAAUAUAUAUAGAAAAAGAGAGACGAAAAAUGGGGCAGACAGUCCACUCACAAAAAAGUGGGUGGAAUGCCUAGCCUCAUUCAAAGUACCUCAUAAUGUAAAUAGUCACAUAGAAGAGGAUAAACAACCUUUAUUAGAAAAAAAUGCUAAAAUGGUAUAUAGUCCAAAUACUAUUACCAUACACUAAAAUAGUGUAUUGAUUAUAAGUUAACCACCAAAUUUGUAAAAGCCUGGGAGAGGCUAAUCCUGCAAGGUAUGUUUGACUUAAUAGAGGUGUAAAAAUACACCUAAAAUAAUAAAUGGGUAACAAAGUAGGUUAGUCUAAAUCCAUUCUAGGAAAGGACCCAACUGGGUAAAUGGAUAGAAAAAGGAUAGUCUUAGAGAAGUGUCUGAGAGAAUCUGGAAAGGGCAGGGUUAAUAGCAACUAAUGGGGCGCGCCCAAACUAAUAUCGAGUAGCUUAUACUAAAGAGAAAAGGAGCUAAUACCCCACAAAGAGAGGAAAGAUAGAACCCCCCCCACCCCCCCUUGAGUCACCCUAAAAAAACUAACUAUCCUAAGAGAAACAGCAAAACUAACUGCUGCUUCGUGGCAGCCUAUCCAAAUCCCUAAGUCUGUAUCAGGAGAAAAUAUAGGCGCAAACUCAUGCGCUGUGGAAACCCAGGUAAAUGAAAGAUGAGAGUAAAGAGAAUCAAUUGAGUAUAAUAGCAUCGGCUAAGUUAACCACCAAACUUAUAAAAGCCUGGGAGAGGCUAAUCCUGCAAGGUAUGUUUGACUUAAUAGAGGUGUAAAAAUACACCUAAAAUAGUAAAUAGGUAACAAAGCAGGUUAGUCUAAAUCCAUUCUAGGAAAGGACCCAGCUGGGUAAUUGGAUAGAAAAAGGAUAGUCUUAGAGCAGUGUCUGAGAGAAUCUGGAAAGGGCAGGAUUAAUAGCAACUAAUGGGGCGCGCCCAAACUAAUAUCGAGUAGCUUAUACUAAAGAGAAAAGGAGCUAAUCCCCCACAAAGAUAGGAAAGAUAGAACCCCCCCCCCACCCCCCUCUGAGUCACCCUAAAAAACUAACAGAUAAUUCAUUAAACCCAAGUAUUUGGCUCUUUCAUUUGGGACUUUCAAAAAAAUAAAAGUACCCUUAUUCUAGCAAUCAAUAUACUGCUUACUAUUAAAUAUCGCAAGAGAAUGGCGAAAGCCUAAUUUUCCAUCUUGGGCAGUGCUCAUUGGUCAAAUCUAUCAAGGGAAAAUGGAAAGAUAUUUGUAUAUGCUUAAAGGACCACUCUAGGCACCCAGACCACUUCAGCUUAAUGAAG